ACGGUUGCAACGUAUCAUUAAAGCCGGAAUAUUUUCGCUACUGAUUGGUUCUGAUUGUUUGCUGUAGGAAAAUUCUUUAAUAAAUACAAUAAAAUACAUCAAUCACUUAAAAUAUGUCCCAGGAUCUCUGGUUGCAGAAUUACGAUGCCACUUGCCGUCUGGCCCAGGAGAUUGCAGAAAACAUCCAUGAGAGGAACAGACAGCAGAGGACGGGCGGUAACCCUGCCAAGCUCAACAUGACACUCAGAGCGUCCUUGCAGAAGAUGAAGCAGAAUGUGUCCAUGCUGCGGGAGACCCUGAUUCGAGCCUCAUCACAGCGGCGCAUCACACAGUCAGAGGCAGACAGAAGACAGAGUCUGCUUGAUGACCUGGUGACCAAAGAAAAACAACUGUGUGCCUCUUUUAACCGGAAUGGUACAGAUCUGGAUCCCUCACGCUCGACCUUGAUGACAGGUGGACCGGGGCGGGGGGCGGGGCCGGGGGUGGCGGCGAACCCCUGGCUGCUGAAUGAACCGGAGGAGACGAGAGGACUGACGUUCGGAGAAAUCAAAGAGCAGCAGCAGCGCAUAAUCCAAGCCCAGGAUGCAGGUCUGGACGCCCUGGCCGCUGUCAUUGGCCAACAGAAGCGUAUGGGUCAGGAGAUUGGUAACGAGCUUGAUGAGCAGAAUGAGGUCAUUGACGACAUCACUCAGCUGGUGGACAAAACGGACGGCCGGAUCCGCAACGAGACACAAAGGGUCAAACUAGUGGAGACCAAAUCGGCUUCCUGUGCCGCUGGGUCCGAGGCUCUGUGACAGCGGCCCGUGCGUCAGAGCCGCUCUGCCCCUCCUCCCUGGGCGUGGCCAGAGGUGGCGGAGGCCCAGCGCCGUUCGGGUGGAUUUGUGGAGGUAUGCUGGUAGUGAUCGUGCUCCUGCUUAUAGCCAUCGUGGUGGUGGCCUCUUGGCCUACCUAAUAAAGUGCCCCGCGUGUCCUGCCCGAACGCUGAGCACAGGUGCUACAGCUCCGAGGGAGAAGGGGUGAGACACCUCCCACCCCCCCCCGUUCUGUUCUAUAACUUCUGGAUGGUACUGCUGUGCUGUCUUUUUAAAAAUAAACAUUAAGCCAAGAAGUGAACUUGCAUUUAAAAACACAAGAAUAUCAUGCACCUGUAAUUUCUGCCUGUUUUUUCCUUAAUGUCUUGGGAAAACAUUGUUAUGUUUGAGAAACAGAACUGUUUGGAAUAUCACGUUUGUCCCCCCCAUAUGAAACGCAUGAGUGGGGGAGCAGUGACUUCAGCAGGGAUGUGGGGAACCUUGCGCCCCACUAACCGCGCGCCCCUCCGGCCGCUGUCGGCAUGUCUCGUCAGGCCUCCUCUACUGUAGUCGUGUUUUGCACUUUCAUGUAUCUGAAGUUGUUGUAUUAUGUUAUCAGAAGGAUUCCAGCUAACUGUCGUUACAGGAGAAUCAGCUGGAGUGUUAGUUGACUCUUCUGAUCACUGGACUUUAUGGUUACUCAACUCUAAUAAAUGUGUUUUCAUCAGCUUCCUCUGAUCUUUGAUAUAUAACUAAAUUAAUGGUGUGUCCCUACGAUCAGGAGCUGUUAAUUUUUAACUGGCUGUUUUUUGUUUUUUUUCUUUUGUUUGUAAAAAAUUUAAUUGUUUACAAUUGGGAAACAAUUGAUUAAAAAAAAUAAAAGAAAUGUGAAAAGAAAUUAAAUUUUGAUCAUUUAAAGGAGAUCAUUCAGAUUAAUUUAUGAAGUCGAUAGUAGUGACAUAGAAGGAUUUUAUUAAACUGAGUGCUGAACUGAGCUGGGACCAGAUCACUGUUCAGUAGUUCCUCUUCCUCUCUGGUUUUUAAUCACAACCAUCUAAACAACCACAAACAAACAAAAAAUAAAAAAUAAAAAAAGACAUUAACAAAAUCCACAAUGUCUUGUCAUUAAAUAUUUUCAUAUAUAAUAACCAUAAUAUAUUAGUAUGCGGAUUUAUAUUUGCCACAGCUAAAUUUACAAUUUCAUAGUAGGAACCAAAAGCAGUGUUCUGUUUGGACAGGUCUGAUAGUCACGUCAAAUACGGUAUCCAUGUUUUCACUGCUUAAGAUAAAAAAAAUUAAAAAGUAAGAAGAAAAAAACGUAAAUUUACAUCAUAACGAUAUUGUAUAGUAACAAAAACUGGGCAGAUUGAUUUAUACUGACAUAUAGUGCCAAAAAUGGAUACAUUUACAAAGUGGUAUCUAUGAACAUUAUUAUGUAGAAACUAACGUGAAACUGUGUCAUGUGUGUAACUACAUGUAUGUCAUCUAUGAUUCAAUCAACACAAUCUGCAAGUAAGUGAGCAGGACGCAGACGUACAGACGAUGAACACUGAGCACUGAACCGUUCACGCAGUUUCACUCAUCAGGAGUAAACACGUCAGGGUGGUUUACUUUCCAUCCCGUAGCACGCGCGUGUGUGUGUGUGUGCUCGCUGCCGGAGCUGAUGCACUCUGGGAUCUGUGGUUGAUUCCCCUACGAUAAAAAAAGCAAUUGGGCUCAGUAUCAUUUUUUUCUCUUUUCUUUUUCACAGUUAUACUGAGAAUUUUUUUAUUUAAAUUUUUUUUUCUCAAGCUAUAUAUAUGAGCUGCAUGGGGGUCAGUGGCCUCAUAAGACACUGAGGUGUUUUUGUUGGGGGGUAUUUUUUUGUUAGUUUUUUUUACACCUCUUACUACAAAUUCUUACUAGUACAUUAACUGACAUUAAAGAAAAUAUUUCUUUCUAAAUACUGUUUCACACAAAAUCCUACCUGGGCACAUACUGCUGUGACUGCCAAACUCUUUCGCAUUCAGAAAAGGCCAUUUUAUGUUGGUCUUGUGUUUCCUCUACUUUAGCUGAAGGGUUUGUCUUUGUGUCUGGGCUGCACAGACCUGGGUGAACCUCAGCAUUACACACAAACACAGCGUGGUGUUCAACGGUUUCAUUGAAAGACAAAAGUAGAAUUCGUUGUGCAUGGUAGUAAUCUGAGGUUUCUGUCAUUUGAUGUUUUUAAAUGCUAAAACUAAUACACACACUCUUUUUGUGUAUGCAUCCUUGCUUAGAAGCUGGGCAGACAAAAUGAAAUAUAAUUUUAUCAUUACAUACGUUUGGUAACUACUUAAAUAGCUAAUGAAAAUACACUAAAUUGUAUUUUCUCCUUGUUUAACUAAUACAGACUAAAUAAAAUUCUGAAUGUCCCACCAUAUGUGUUGAUAACGCUGGAGUGUGGACCAUAGACUUGUCCUGAAACAUGAUUUAACACCUGUUUGAAGAAUUAUUUACUGGAAAGGACACAUUGUUAGCAAAUGAGUAUUAACUGUUUUAUUUGUGUGUGUCAUGAUCUACUGUUUAAAAAUGUGAACGAUGGAAUAAAUUCAAAAUGAAGAAGACUUAAAUACUUGCACUGAAAAUGUAAAUCUCUGCUUUUAUGGUUUUCUGCAUUAAUGAAAAAGUUCAUUUUUAUUUUCUUUUUUAGAUUUUUUUUGUAAGUGGCCUUGUGUGUAAGAUAAUCAAACCACUAUGUUUUUGUAUUAUAUAGCAGCACCAGCUUUCAGAUCUCUGUGGAAUUAUUAGUCAUAUAAUGAACAUGCAUGUUCUACACUGUUGUCCACACUUAACAUGAGUCAUGUUAAUAGUGUUAAUAUCUGCCAGCAAAACCUUUGCGUUCAGGUCUGUUGUCAAAUGACGCGUACUUUAAGCAUUAAAUCCCAAAUCCAUGUUACAAUUUGUGUAUUUGCCUAAAAACAGAACAUCUAAGAAGCACGUUUUGGAAAGAAAUCACCACAGAUACACGUACUGGAAAAAUCUGGGAAAAUGUGCCUUGUUUACUUUUAAGCAAUGACUCCUCUUUUGUCUAAUAAAGUCCAAAUAUCCAGAGAAAUGGGUGAUAUCGUAACAAACAAAAAAGGCUUAAGAGUAGAUAAAAAAUAAAAUGUCCUUGUGUUUUUA